rnacentral:rRNA from 1 species
AGCCAGGGAGCGAAAGGGAUUAGAUACCCUGUAGUCCUGGCGUAAACGAUGAACACUAGGUGUCGGGGGAAUCGACCCCUUCGGUGUCGUAGCUAACGCGUUAAGUGUUCCGCCUGGGGAGUACGCACGCAAGUGUGAAACUCAAAGGAAUUGACGGGGGCCCGCACAAGCGGUGGAGUAUGUGGUUUAAUUCGAUGCAACGCGAAGAACCUUACCAGGGUUUGACAUCCUGCGAACCUCUUAGAAAUUUGAGGGUGCCUUCGGGAAUGCAGUGACAGGUGGUGCAUGGCUGUCGUCAGCUCGUGUCGUGAGAUGUUGGGUUAAGUCCCGCAACGAGCGCAACCCACGUUUUUAGUUGCCAGCAUUUAGUUGGGCACUCUAGAAAGACCGCCGGUGAUAAACCGGAGGAAGGUGUGGAUGACGUCAAGUCAUCAUGCCCCUUACACCCUGGGCUACACACGUACUACAAUGCUACGGACAAAGGGCAGCAAACUCGCGAGAGCUAGCAAAUCCCAUAAACCGUGGCUCAGUUCAGAUCGUAGGCUGCAACUCGCCUACGUGAAGUAGGAAUCGCUAGUAAUCGCAGGUCAGCAUACUGCGGUGAAUACGUUCCCGGGCCUUGUACACACCGCCCGUCACACCAUGGAAGUUGGCCAUGCCCGAAGUCGUUACUCCAACCCUUGUGGAGGAGGACGCCGAAGGUGGGGCUAAUGACUGGGGUGAAGUCGUAACAAGGUAGCCGUA